GGACCCGCACAAGCAGCGGAGCAUGUGGUUUAAUUCGAAGCAACGCGAAGAACCUUACCAAGGCUUGACAUCCCCUUGACCGGUGCAGAGAUGUACCCUUCUCUUCGGAGACAAGGGAGACAGGUGGUGCAUGGUUGUCGUCAGCUCGUGUCGUGAGAUGUUGGGUUAAGUCCCGCAACGAGCGCAACCCUUAUCCUUAGUUGCCAGCACUUCGGGUGGGCACUCUAAGGAGACUGCCGGUGAUAAACCGGAGGAAGGUGGGGAUGACGUCAAAUCAUCAUGCCCCUUAUGUCUUGGGCUACACACGUGCUACAAUGGUCGGCACAACGGGCAGCGAAGGAGCGAUCCGGAGCAAAUCCCAAUAAACCGAUCCCAGUUCGGAUUGCAGGCUGCAACUCGCCUGCAUGAAGUCGGAGUUGCUAGUAAUCGCGAAUCAGCACGUCGCGGUGAAUGCGUUCCCGGGUCUU
rnacentral:rRNA from 1 species